rnacentral:lncRNA from 10 species
CCUCCUGAAGUACUGGGAUUACAGGCGUGAGCCACCACGCCCAGCCUAAAAGUUACUUUUAAAAAAAGUUAGUUUCAGUUGUAUUAUCCUUAAAAUUGGAAAGGUAAAGCAAUACAUAUUUUAGAAGAGAGCAUAGGAGAAGAAUAUUUUCAUAAACUUUGAGUAGGUAAAACUUUCUUAAAUGUUUUUGAAAGGCAGUAAUCAUAAUUAAAACAAUUCAUACAUGGGACUGUAGUAAAAUUAAAAACUUCUGUUCACCAAAAGACAUCACCGAAAGAGUGGAAAGGCAAACCAAAGAGUGGGAGAAAAUAUUUGCUGUACAUGGGUCUGAUAAAGCAGUCAUAUCAAAAAUAUAUAAAGAACUUCUACAAACUGAUCUAAAAAAAAAACUAAUAUAAAAGUGAUCCAAAACUGAGGGCUUUCACAAAACUGGAUGCCUAAAUGUGCGAUAAAUAUUCAAAACAUAUAAAGAACUUCUACCAAUAGGCUGGGCAUAAUGGCUCAUGCCUGUAAUCCCAGUUCUUUGAGAAGGCAGAGGCAGGAGGAUCACUUGAGCCCAGAAGUUUGAGACCAGCCUGGGUAACAUACUGAGACCCCCACCUGUAUUUAAAAACAAACAAACAAACAAAAAAUUCCAACAAAUAAACGAAGAGACAACCUUUUGCCAACAAUGGGCAAAAGUCUUUAACAAGCAGUUCACACAUAGCUAAUAAACAUUAAAAAGCGUAUGGCAUGACUGGUAAUUAACCACAGAGAGAUAUCAUUACACACCCUCUUUUGCUAUUGCAUGAUUUAAUUUUUAGCCGGCUGAUGGGUGUGUAAUGAUAUCUCUCUGUGGUUUACUUACCAGUCAUGCCAUACACUUUUUAAUGUUUAUUAGCUAUGUGUGAACUGCUUGUUAAAGACUUUUGUCCUUUUUUGGCAAAAUAUUGUCUCUUCAUUUAUUUGUUGGAAUUUUUUUUUUUUUUAAAUACAGAUGGGGGUCUCAGUAUGUUGCCCAGGCUGAUCUCAAACUUUUGGGCUCAAGUGAUCCUUGGGGGAUACCCAGGUGCACUGGUGGAAGUAUAAAUUGGAACAACUCUGAAAAGCGGUUUGACAUAUCUAUUCAGCAUAGUGUAUCCAACAAUUGAGUAAUACCAUGAUUAGAUAUACACCCUAGGUAAAUUUUGUUUUUUUUUUUUAACAGUCUUGCUCUUUUGCCCAGACUGGAGUGCAGUGGUGCCAUUUCGGCUUAUUGCAACCUCCACUUCCCAGGUUCAAGCAAUUCUCCUACCUCACCCUCUCAAAUAGCUGAGACUACAGGCACACCACCACCACACCUAGCUAA